rnacentral:rRNA from 1 species
AGCGAACGCUGGCGGCGUGCCUAACACAUGCAAGUCGAACGUGAAAAGGGAAACCUGAGUAAAGUGGCGUACGGGUGAGUAACGCGUAGGUAAUCUACCCCAGAAUCUGGAAUAACCUGCCGAAAGGCGGGCUAAUACUGGAUAGAGCGAGGGUACUCGUAAGAGAGUUUUUCGGGAAAGGGAGCCCGCAAGGGCCUUCGUUCUGGGAUGAGCCUGCGUCUCAUUAGCUAGUUGGUAAGGUAACGGCUUACCAAGGCGAUGAUGAGUAGCUGGUCUGAGAGGAUGAUCAGCCACACUGGAACUGAAACACGGUCCAGACUCCUACGGGAGGCAGCAGUGGGGAAUCUUGCGCAAUGGACGAAAGUCUGACGCAGCCACGCCGCGUGAGUGAAGAAGGCCUUCGGGUUGUAAAGCUCUGUCGGAUGGGACGAACAUCUUCAUAGUGAAUAGCUAUGAGGACUGACGGUACCAUCAAAGGAAGCACCGGCUAACUCCGU